GACGAACCGUGCGAACGUUGUUCGGAAUCACUGGGCUUAAAGGGCGCGUAGGCGGGCGACCAAGUCGGGGGUGAAAUCUUUCGGCCCAACCGGAAAAGGGCCCCCGAUACUGGCCGCCUCGAGGGAGGUAGGGGUCGAGGGAACUUCCGGUGGAGCGGUGAAAUGCGUAGAUAUCGGAAGGAACGCCGGUGGCGAAAGCGCUCGACUGGACCUCUUCUGACGCUGAGGCGCGAAAGCCAGGGGAGCAAACGGG
rnacentral:rRNA from 1 species